rnacentral:lncRNA from 1 species
CGCUAACUUACUUUGUUAUAUCAAGAUGGUUUACUUUGUUGCAUUAAGUUAUAGGAGUUGUUUGACACCGUUGAUGCAUAGUUAUUCUUGAAUUUAUCACCUGUCUACCUACGUUGUCCUAAGUAGUAUAGGCCCGGGGUCUAUGCUUAGCUUGCCUAGCACGGUAGAAGUCGGAUGAUUUCUUGUCACCUACGAGAUAUAGGUGGAUACCAAAAUGGUUUAGGUGUUUGAUGCUAUCAUGGGAAGUAACCAAGUGUAGGAAUGAAACUGAGAUCGGGCAAGGUCUUAUGGGGGUGUUGGACCAUAGUGCCCUUGCCUGUGUCGAUUAAAGACCGAUCGUUGAUGGCCCUCUUGUCAUGUUGAACGCAUGCCCCACACUUAACUGGAAGGAUAAGUCGUUACGACCAUGAA